AGCAGCCGCGGUAAUUCCAGCUCCAAUAGCGUAUAUUAAAGUUGUUGCAGUUAAAAAGCUCGUAGUUGAAUUUCGGAAUCAAUUUAUUGGUCGUGCAAUAGUACGUACUGGUAUUAUUGGUUUCUCCCUUCUGAUGAACCAUGAUGUCAUUAAUUUGGUGUUAUGGGGAACCAGGACUGUUACUUUGAAAAAUUAGAGUGUUUAAAGCAGGCUCACGCUUGAAUACAUUAGCAUGGAAUAAUGAAAUAGGACGUUUGAUUCUAUUCUGUUGGUUUCUAGGAUCGACGUAAUGAUUAAUAGGGAUAGUUGGGGGCAUUAGUAUUCAAUUGUCAGAGGUGAAAUUCUUGGAUUUAUUGAAGACUAACUACUGCGAAAGCAUUUGCCAAGGAUGUUUUCAUUAAUCAAGAACGAAAGUUAGGGGAUCGAAGACGAUCAGAUACCGUCGUAGUCUUAACCAUAAACUAUGCCGACUAGGGAUCGGAUGAUGUUAAUUUUUAAUGA
rnacentral:misc_RNA from 2 species